rnacentral:rRNA from 1 species
AUGAACGCUAGCUACAGGCUUAACACAUGCAAGUCGAGGGGCAGCAUGGUCUUAGCUUGCUAAGGCCGAUGGCGACCGGCGCACGGGUGAGUAACACGUAUCCAACCUGCCGUCUACUCUUGGACAGCCUUCUGAAAGGAAGAUUAAUACAAGAUGGCAUCAUGAGUCCGCAUGUUCACAUGAUUAAAGGUAUUCCGGUAGACGAUGGGGAUGCGUUCCAUUAGAUAGUAGGCGGGGUAACGGCCCACCUAGUCUUCGAUGGAUAGGGGUUCUGAGAGGAAGGUCCCCCACAUUGGAACUGAGACACGGUCCAAACUCCUACGGGAGGCAGCAGUGAGGAAUAUUGGUCAAUGGGCGCAGGCCUGAACCAGCCAAGUAGCGUGAAGGAUGACUGCCCUAUGGGUUGUAAACUUCUUUUAUAAAGGAAUAAAGUCGGGUAUGUAUACCCGUUUGCAUGUACUUUAUGAAUAAGGAUCGGCUAACUCCGUGCCAGCAGCCGCGGUAAUACGGAGGAUCCGAGCGUUAUCCGGAUUUAUUGGGUUUAAAGGGAGCGUAGAUGGAUGUUUAAGUCAGUUGUGAAAGUUUGCGGCUCAACCGUAAAAUUGCAGUUGAUACUGGAUAUCUUGAGUGCAGUUGAGGCAGGCGGAAUUCGUGGUGUAGCGGUGAAAUGCUUAGAUAUCACGAAGAACUCCGAUUGCGAAGGCAGCUCACUGGAGCGCAACUGACGCUGAAGCUCGAAAGUGCGGGUAUCGAACAGGAUUAGAUACCCUGGUAGUCCACGCAUUAAACGAUGAUAGCUCGUUGUCGGCGAUACACAGUCGGUGACUAAGAGAAAUCGAUAAGCUAUCCACCUGGGGAGUACGUUCGCAAGAAUGAAACUCAAAGGAAUUGACGGGGGCCCGCACAAGCGGUGGAGCAUGUGGUUUAAUUCGAUGCAACGCGAAGAACCUUACCUGGUCUUGACAUCCACGGAAGUUUUCAGAGAUGAGAAUGUGCCUUCGGGAACCGUGAGACAGGUGCUGCAUGGCUGUCGUCAGCUCGUGUUGUGAAAUGUUGGGUUAAGUCCCGCAACGAGCGCAACCCUUAUUGUUAGUUGCCAUCAUUAAGUUGGGCACUCUAAGUUGACUGCCGGUGACAAACCGGAGGAAGGUGGGGAUGACGUCAAAUCAGCACGGCCCUUACGUCCGGGGCUACACACGUGUUACAAUGGGGGGUACAGAGGGCCGCUACCACGCGAGUGGAUGCCAAUCCCAAAAACCUCUCUCAGUUCGGACUGGAGUCUGCAACCCGACUCCACGAAGCUGGAUUCGCUAGUAAUCGCGCAUCAGCCACGGCGCGGUGAAUACGUUCCCGGGCCUUGUACACACCGCCCGUCAAGCCAUGGGAGCCGGGGGUACCUGAAGUGCGUAACCGCGAGGAGCGCCCUAGGGUAAAACUGGUGACUGGGGCU